GCGAUAAGAGGGCGGGCGGCGCGGGGCGGCGGCGCUCGGUGCUCGCUCCCUCGCUCACGUCCUGCCGCGCUCCGGGGGAGGGGGGGAAGAAGGGCGCCCGCUCCGCCAUGGCCGAGACGAUCGCGGACACCCGGCGGCUGAUCAGCAAGCCGCAGAACCUGAACGACGCCUACGGGCCGCCCAGCAACUUCCUGGAGAUCGACGUGGGCAACCCGCAGACGGUGGGGGUGGGCCGCGGCCGCUUCACCACCUACGAGAUCCGCGUCAAGACAAAUCUACCUAUCUUCAAAUUGAAAGAAUCUACGGUCAGAAGAAGAUACAGUGACUUUGAAUGGCUAAGGAAUGAACUAGAAAGAGAAAGCAAGGUUGUGGUUCCACCUCUUCCAGGAAAAGCUCUUCUCCGUCAGCUCCCUUUCCGAGGAGAUGAUGGCAUAUUUGAUGAUUCCUUUAUAGAGGAAAGGAAGCAGGCUCUUGAACAAUUCAUAAACAAAUGUGAGGUAUUAUCAGCUUGUGUAAUGAUGCAUAUUUUCUCUAAUCAUCAUGAGAAUCUUUAUGAAGAUGUAGAAACACUACCUGAGGCUUGGGACUCUAAAUGCUGAAGUGCACUUACUGAAAGUUUUGUAUGCUGAGUCUAGCAAUAUGUGGGGGAAGAGGGCUGUUUAUGUUCUGAAGCAGCUAAUAGUACAACAGUCAUCUUAACUGGAAUCUCUGAAAAACUCAGUAUAGCUGACAAAGGGAGUGGCCAGUUUACUGGUAUUGCUUGUUUAGUCCUACAGCAAGUAACAGGUUGAUCUUGUGGAAGUGUAAAACUUCUUGGUCAAUUUUUCCUCCUUUGAAACAUAAAAGCAGACUGUUAAUGAAGAUAUUGAUGUAGUGGCAGACUUGAGUACAGCUGGAACAAGGCUCUUCAGGCACAACUCCUAGCUAUUCAACCUCAUCAAUUUAUUCUAAUGGCAUGACCAACUCAUCAAGCAAAUAUUACUAAUUAAAGUUUUGUACUAUGUAGAAGCUUUAAGGCUUCUACCAAGUACUCUGGGUACUAGUGAACUUAGACAUGAAGGUAAUUUGCAUAAUACAUUCAUAUUGCUGCAUUCUCAAAGCUAGUCUUUACCUCUAGAACUAGAGAGGAGUCCCUCAGAUAAUUGAUACCACUAUAUCCAAAAAAAUCUUGGUGCACCAAUGCCAGUUCUUGAUACCCAGGAGUGUCAAGAUAGAUGUUGUUGAGAAGCUUUAUCCCUCUAGAUCUAAAAUCUAAGAGGAACUAAAUCACAGCAGUGCAGCUUACUUGAGUCAGCUCUCUUGAGCCAGCUUGCUGGCACUACCAUCAAUACUACAUAGAAUGACAUUCACAGGGGUGGCUAUGUUGCAACAUUCUUGUCUGCCUGAACCGGACUGUGGGAUACAUGAAAAUUCUUGAAGUAGCGGCUGCUAUGUGUAAAGGUCACCUUAGUGAAGAAGUCUAACGAAAAGCCAAUGCAGAGUGAGGUAUUCAUGUGAAACCAAGAGCUGAAUCUGAGAGAUCAGAUCUAGUCUUGCAAUUCAGCCACCAAAUUGCAAGCCUUCCUGAAAGGGAGAAGAAAUAUGCUGCUGCCUCGUCAUCUUCUCCUGUAUAUCUUUCUCUUGAAGUUCAAGGCCAGCAACUUCAGUCUGAUGGGGGGUUGCAGGCCACCCACUGGCACAGAACGAGCGCUGUCUUCACAUGUUCUUACAAGAUGAAGUAAUAGAC